AAGAGGGGAGCGCCGGCUCCGCACGUGUCCCCACCCCAGUUAGCUGGAAAAGGCCGGGUGUGCUGCACCUCCCGCGGUGGGUCGUCUCGGCUUAAAGCGGCAGCAGGCGACCAAGGAAGCGGAUGGAGAGGCCGCGGGGAGCCGGGGAUGGCAAAGCCGCUCCCUACCCGAGGGCUCGCUGCCCUCGCUGGCAAGGCGAGGGCUCACUCUGCAGAGGCGUCUCCGCGGCUUUUCCCAGUUUUGCUCCGAGACCCAGGCUGUGCCCCUCCACAUGCACACCUGUCUGUAGCUACCAAGAAGCCAGGGAUCACAUCUCUCUUGUUUCCUCCUUUGUCACCAGCAUCUAUCUCAGGGCUAGGUCUCAACACCUAGCAGCUCUCAACAAAUAUUGGAUAAAUAGUGAAUGAAUCUAAAGACGCAUUUCCUCUGGACUCUUCUAUCUGGAAGAAAAGGGCCGGAUCCACCUUUCAGCCCCAGUACAAUCAUCCAGGAGGCAGCUAGUCAAUAUCCUGUCUACUCUGAAGACAAGAACAACCCCGCAGAUGUCAGCCAGACCUUUCUUUUCUGGCAGCACUAAAUGAGCCUUCCUUUCUCCAAUCACCCGUGUCUUCUGAGCUGACCUAGAAGCCUAGGAGCCAUUCCACUGAGACAGACGAAUGGACCACAUGACCUGAGGAAGACUCCUCGCUAGCUCCUACUCACCAAUCAGGUCUUGAGCAAAGAGUGACAUCCUUGAAAAGAUAUUCUCCAACCUCCAGCCUAAGUCAGGGUCUUAAGAGUAAUUAUCUCAGUUUGUAAAUAUAUCUUCCUCUGCAUCAUCUGGAUAAUUACUGUCUACCCCGGUAGGCUGUAAGAACCUCCUGAGUUUUGAUAUUGGUGGAAGUCACUGAAGUAGACA